ACGAACGCUGGCGGCGUGCUUAACACAUGCAAGUCGUACGGUAAGGCCCUUUCGGGGGUACACGAGUGGCGAACGGGUGAGUAACACGUGAGUAACCUGCCCACAACUUUGGGAUAACGCUAGGAAACUGGUGCUAAUACUGGAUAUGUGCUCCUGCUGCAUGGUGGGGGGUGGAAAGCUCCGGCGGUUGUGGAUGGACUCGCGGCCUAUCAGGUUGUUGGUGGGGUAGUGGCCUACCAAGGCGGCGACGGGUAGCCGGCCUGAGAGGGUGACCGGCCACAUUGGGACUGAGAUACGGCCCAGACUCCUACGGGGGGCAGCAGUGGGGAAUAUUGCACAAUGGGCGCAAGCCUGAUGCAGCAACGCCGCGUGCGGGAUGACGGCCUUCGGGUUGUAAACCGCUUUCAGCAGGGACGAAGCUUUUUGUGACGGUACCUGCAGAAGAAGCACCGGCUAACUACGUG
rnacentral:rRNA from 1 species